rnacentral:lncRNA from 1 species
CCGCCAAAAAACCUAAACAUAGAUCCUCAAUACCCAAACGGCAGCCACCCUAUCUCCUCCGCCUCUCUGCCGCGAAACAACCACUAUAAGCCACUGGAGAAUUCCCUCCCACGCUCUUGGUCCCCUACUCCUCUACUCUUUCCUCCACGUGGCAUGACAAGUUACAAACCCGAAUAUUCGCUCAUUCUCAUCUCUCUUCUCACGUGUUUAGAGUCUCUAGAAGGCAUAUGUUGGAUGAAUGGGGAGCAUAGGAUCCAUUUCAAUUGAUCAAAACCUUCAUUAAUCAAGUUUUUGCCUGAUAUAUAUAGGAAUUUUGGAAGAAGAAAAGUGUGGUUCUGGAGACAUAUUUUUGGAGUUUUAUUGAAAGGUAAAGGAAAACUAGGGUUUCAAAAACAAUCUUCAGUCUUGCUCUCAUAUUUAAGUUCAUAAAGACUCCAGAAAAAAAAUACAUAUAUAUAUCUCUUUAUUUUUCUAUUUCUUCUUUGAAUCUCGAGUUAGAGUUGAAUUGAAGUUUGAGUUUGAUUUCGUGUUUGGAUUUGAAAUAACGGUGUCGAUUAGAAUUCUAGUCUGAGGUUUUUCUGUCUGUUUCAUUUGCUUGUUUCUUCGUUGGAAUUUUGGGAAUUGAAGCCGAGCUUCCGUUGAAUCAUCUAUUGUUAUUUACAGAGAAGAUUGACUUUACAGGUUCAUUUCCGCAUCUCUCUUCUUUAUUCGAAUUUGUUUGGAGUGGAUUGAGUAGGAGUCCUUAAAAAUGGAUUAAAUAAGCAGUGAUUUCGAAGAUUGUGUUGAACUUUCCUUUGAUUAGAGUUUACGUUUUGUGUCGAUUGUGUGUUCAAUGAAUUCUUCUGGUGAAACCUCCUAGAUGAUAAAGGAGAAUGAACUGUUUAGAUCCCUAUUUGGUUCAGUCAGAUUAAUAUUGGAGUGUUAGAACCAAUUGCGAUGAAACUGUGUAAUCAACAUGUCAAUCGGAAGCUGAUCUGUCACUAUUUUUGCUUAUGAUUAAGUAGUUGAAGGCCUUUAGCCAUAAGAGUAGCAUUUUCUUUGAUUUUAUCUCUGUUUAAGGUUUAGAGUUCUGAGUAUGGAUUUUUCAUCAUACUCUUUGAAACAUGCUUACAAAUAAAAUCAUGCUUUCGUGGAAAUAUGUGUAAAUGUCUCCUUGUGGCUUCAUUUUAUUCGAUCAGAUUUCAUGUUGGAUUUCCAUGAUUUUCUUGGAUUGAAUGAUUUUCAUUCUCCCAUUGUCAGUGAUUCAUUGGUGUUAUUGAGUCAAGCUUUAAGUUUAAGCUAGCUUGUUUGCAUUUUGUGUUCCAUGUCUCUUUAUACUGCAAAUGUUAGUUUUGUUAUGCUCUCCUAGCCACUAUUGGAUAAUAUGGAUUGAUAUCUCUUGGAAAUGUUUGUCAAGCAUGUCAUUAGUAUAAUAAAUGCAAAUUGAUUGAGGUUAGUCAUUCAUGUCAUGAAUAUUGUUUGACUAAUGAGAAGAAGUAUGUAAGUAUGCAUGUUUUGGUGUCCCACGUUGAUUCAUUGUUUCCAUCUUUGGUGGGAGUGUCCUAAUUGAAAAUAUAAUUCAAUCGUCAGCUAAGAGCUCCAGCUCUCAUGUCGAAAAAUGAAAUUGGUGGCCAGCAUUCCUCGAGUGUUUGUCUGACUUUGAAUGCCAGAACCAUUAGCCAACUUUGUGAAGAAAUGAUGUUCAAAUGUUUCUGUUGUGAAAGACCGUACAUGUAUAAUUCUUGAUGUAUUUGAACGUUGUAUAUGGUUACACGUUUGGGAUGUUCCAUUGUGCUUUGUCUUGAAUGCUUGAAUGGGCCGUGUGGAUUGGUAAAGGCCUAGCCCAUUAUUGAUUUAAUCACUCACAUGUUUAGGAAUUGGGCUAGGUCGAAUGCUUGAAACAAAAGCUUAAAAGGGAAUGAGCUUGAAAUUUAGUAAAAGUAUUCUAUUAUCACGAGCCUUUGAACACAAUCAUCGAAUUAGGGAUUACAUAAUUCAUGAGCGUCGUAGCUUGCUUUAGGCAAGAUUUAAUCUUUCAUCAUAAUUGUGUAUACGUUCGUAUGACAUAAUUACGAUUCUAAAAACAAAUCGAGGUAUGUAUUCGCGUAACUUCGACCAAACUUUCUUAAUAAUGAUAAAAAGUGUAAUUAAUUGUGGAUACGUAUGCAUGACAUAAUUUUUUAUGUGCCAAAUAAAACAAGUACAUGUACGCGUGACUCAUUUUAAAAUAACUUCUUAAUUAUGAAUAAAUCAAGCAAUUAAAAACGAUUAAGGGGUAAAUACACAUGGAUUUAAAAAUAAGUAAUUAGAUAAUUUAAUUAAGUCAAGUAUUAUUAAAGGGAUCGUGCUAAAAUCAUGGAACACGAGAAUACCUAAUACUUUCUUCCGGGUUAAUAGAUUUUCUUACCCGAAAUUAUGUGUUUAGCGGACUGUAAAACAGAGUUAAACUUACUCUAUUCAGGAUUUUAAACCGAUGACUUGGGACACCAUAAAUUAUCCUAAGUGGUGACUCUGAAUUUGAAUAUGAAUAAUCCUAUUUCGAUUAUUGUUACUUUAUUGAAAAAACUCCCUUAUACUCCCUUUUAGGGUAAAAAAGAAGGUGUGAUAAUGACCAGAGAGAGAGUAUUUGGUGCUACUUUUGAUGAGGUUGUUGACAUAGCUCGACAAAUUAAGACGGUUCUUGGUAAGGAGAGGGUUGAGAGGAAGGCCAAGAGGCCUCGUGGUCAGGGUGGAUUCAGUGGUGCUCCUCUCGGGGGCCAGUUUCAGUACGGCAGAGGCCGUCCAUUUAGAUAUGCUCAGUCAGCUCUCCCCUCAUUAACUCUAUUAAUAACUUAGUUCCCUUCCAGCUUAGAGUUCAUUCGUGCUCCACCAGUUCAGCGCUCUUCCAUGCCAUGUUCUUCUGCUAGUCUCCUGAUGCUAGGGGUUUCCUUCACUCAACAUCUCCAGCGCCAAUGGGUUAUUUUGAGUGUGGAGGGUUGGGGAAUAUGUGGAUGCAAUGUCCUCGUCGUCAUGAGGGUCCACCUCAUCAGAGGAGUCAGCCAUCAACUUCAGCACCAGUUGCUUCACCACCCACCCACCCAGCCAGAGGUUGAGGAUAGUCAGCUAGCGGUCGUCCUAGAGGGGGAGGCCGAUCAGGUGGUGGUCAGGCUCGUUACGCACAUCCAGCCAGACCAGAUACUAUUGCUUCAGAUGUUGUGAUUACAAGUAUUGUGUCAUUCUGCCAUAGAGAUUCCUCUGUGUUAUUUGACCCUGGUUCCACUUUGUCAUAUGUGUCAUCAUAUUUUACUCAUUAUUUGAAUAUGUCUCAUGAGUCUCUUGUUUCAUCUGUUUGUGUAUCUACUCGGUGGGUGAUACUAUUUUUAUGGACCGCGUAUAUUGAUCGUGUAUGUGAUUAUUGGGUGUUAGAGACCCAAGUGGACCUUCUAUUGCUUCGUAUGGUUGAUUUUGAUGUGAUAUUAGGCAUGGAUUAGUUAUCUCUAUGUCGUGUUAUUUUGGACUGACAUGCUAAGACAAUGAUGUUGGCCAUGCCGGGUGUGCCACGGAUUGAGUGGAGAGUCUCGACUGAUUUUGUUUCUAGUAGGGUGAUUUUAUUUUUGAAGGCUCAAGGGAUGGCUAGAAAGGAUUGUCUUUCUUACUUGGCCUCCAUGAGGGAUGUUAGUGAAGAGACCCCUACCAUUGAUUCAAUCCCAAUAGUGAGUGACUUUUCGGAUGUGUUUUCUGCAGACCUACCAAUUAUGCCACUAGACAGAGGGAUAUUGACUUUGGUAUUGAUUUGGUGUCGGGCAAUCGGCCCAUUGUUAUUCAAUCAUAUCGUAUGGCACCAGUGGAGUUGAAGGAUCAGCUUCAGAAACUCCUUGAUAAAGGGUUUAUUCGGCCUAGUGUGUCGCCGUUGAUGCACGUGUUCUAUUUGUGAAGAAGAAGGAUGACACGAUGAGGAUGUGCAUUGAUUACAAACAAUUGGAAAAAGUCACAAUCAAGAAAAAGUAUCAUUUGCCUCAUAUUGAUUAUUUAUUUGACCACCUUUAGGGAGCGAGGGUGUUCACCACAAUUGAUCUUAGGUCGGUGUAUCAUCAGUUGAAGAUCGGGGACUCAUAUAUUCUUAAGAAAGCUUUAUGCAAAGUUCUCUAAGUGUGGGUUUUGGCUUAGUUCAUUGGCUUUCUUAGGGCUUGCGUUGUCCAGUGAGGAUAUUUAGGUUGAUCCGAAGAAAAUAGAGGCGGUUCAGAGUUGGCCUAGACCAUCCUCAGCCACAGAUAUUCACAGUUUUCUUGGGUUGGCAGUUUAUCACCAUUGGUUCGUUCAGGGAUUUUCAUCUGUUGCAUCACCCUUGACCAAGUUGACUUAAAAGGGUCCUUCUUUCAGGUGGUCGUAUGAGAAUGGGGUUAGUUUUAAGACGCUUAAGACUGCUUACACCGCAGCUCCAGUGUUAGUUUCGUCAUCAACUUCAGGUUCUUAUAUGAUAUGUUGUGAUGCUUCUUGAGUUGGAAUUGGGUGUGUGUUGAUGCAGGAUGGUAGAGUUAUUGCUUAUGCUUCUCGUCAAUUGAAGACCCAUGAGAAAACUACAUUGUUCACGAUUUGGAGCUAGUUGCCAUUGUUCAUGCAUUGAAGAUUUGGAGGCAUUAUCUCUAAGGUGUGUCUUGUGAAAUGUUUACUGAUCAUUGUAGCCUCCAGCACUUGUUCAAGCAGAAGGAUCACAACUGGAGGCAGCGACGAUGGUUAGAUCUGCUAAAGGACUAAGAUAUUACUAUUCUGUACCAUCAGCGGAAGGCCAAUGUAGUGGCUGAUGCCUUGAGUAGCGAGGCGGUGAGUAUAGGCAGUUUGGCAUAUAUUCCUAUUGGGGAGAUACCUCUUGCACUUGAUGUUCAGGCCUUAGACAACCGGUUCGUGAGGUUGGAUAUUUUGGAGCCCAUUCAAAUCUUAGCUUGUGUGGUUUCCCAGUCUUCCUUGUUCAAUUGCAUCAGAGAGCGCCAUAUGAUUCUCAUUUACUUGUCCUCAAGGAUAGAGUUCAGCACGACGAUAACAGAGAUAUGACUAUUGGUUAUGAUGGGGUAUUAAGGAUAUAUGGCCGGAUAUGUAUGCCCAAUGUAGAUGGGCUUCGUGUGUUGAUUCUGGGGGAGGCCCAUAGCUCGCAGUAUUCCAUCCAUUCGGGGUGCCGCGAAGAUGUAUCAGGAUUUGAUACAACACUACUAGUAGAGAAGAAUGAAGAGAUAUAGUGGGAUUUGUAUCUCAGUGUCUCAAUUGUAAGCAAGUGAAAUAUGAGCAUCAAAGACCGAGUUGCUUGUUACAGUAGAUAGAUAUUCCAAAGUGGAAGUGGGAGCAGAUCACCAUGGAUUUUGUAGUUAGAAUCCCACAGACUUUGAGGAAUCUCGACAUACUUUGAGGAAUCUCGAUGCUAUUUGGGUGAUUGUGGAUCGACUGACCAAGUCCGUGCACUUCAUUUCGAUGUGUACUACCUAUUCUUGAGAGUGAUAAGCUGAGAUUUAUAUUUGAGAGAUUGUUCGCCUGCAUGGUGUCCCAGUUUCCAUCAUUUCAGAUGGAGGUACUCAGUUUACAUUGCAGUUUUGGAGAGGCGUGCAGCGAGAGUUGGGAACUCUGGUAGAGUUUAGCACAAAUUUUCACCCUCAGAUGGAUGGACAAUCCGAGCGCACUAUUUAGAUAUUGGAGGACAUGUGGCGCACUUGUGUCAUUGAUUUUAGGGGUUCAUGGGACCAGUUUCUACCACUUGUAGAGUUUUCAUAUUUAUAUGGCUCCAUAUGAGGCAUUAUAUUGGAGACAUUGCAGAUCUCCAGUAUUUUGGUUUGAGACAGGUGAGGCUAGACUUUUGGGUACAGACCUGGUACAAGAUGCUUUGGACAAGGUGAACGUGAUUCAGGAGCGUCUCCGUACAACGCAGUGGAGACUAAAGAGAUAUGCUGACAGGAAGGUCUAUGAUGUGUCUUACAUGGUUGGUGAGAAUAGUUUGCUAAAGGAUUCACCCGUGAAGGGUAUUAUGAGAUUUGAGAAGAAGGGUAUAUUGAGUCCUCGGUUCAUUUGGGCUUUUGAGGUGCUUCAGAGGAUUAGGGAUGUGGCUUAUGAGCUUGCUUUGCCAUCUAGCUUGUCGAGCCUGCAUCAAGUAUUUCAUGUUUCUAUGUUCUAGAAGUAUAUUGGUGAUCCGUCUCAUAUUUUGAAUUCAGCACGGUUCAGUUAGACGGUGAUUUGACUUAUGAGGUAGAGUCAGUGGCUAUUUAGGAGUGGCAUAUCCAAAAGUUGACAUCAAAGGAGAUAUCUUUGGUGAAAAUGCAGUGGAGAGGUCGGCCCAUGGAGAAGGCUACUUGGGAGACUAAGCGGGAGAUGUGGAGCAUAUAUCCACACAUGUUUGAGGUUUCAGAUAUGUUUCUUGACUCGUUCGAAAACAAACAUUUGUUUAAGAGGGGAAGGGUGUAACGACCCGGCCGGCUGUUUCAUAAGUUACAGUCAUAUUUUCCCAAUUUCAUCUUCCUUGUGUGUUGUUUAGUUGUAUUUCAUCAUAUCGUGUUGGUAAUGGUGUGUUUAGAGUGGAAUUUGAGUGGAAUGAGACACUUAGUUUCUUAUUUGGAAGCUUAAGUUGGAAAACUAAACCGGACAUUGACUUAUAUGUAGAAGAUCUCAUAUGUUAAUUCUGAUGGUUCAGAUAGCUUCGUUAAGUGAUUUUGAACUUAGCAGCGUGUUUGUAAUGUAAUUUGGAGGUCUGUGGUAGUUAGGCUUGAAUUGGCAAAAUUAAAAAUUUUAUAUUUUUCGAUCGGCAGUGAAAAUCUUGAUAUCGGGUCGGAAUGGGAUUUCGGAAAUUCCAGCAGAUCCGUUACAUCAUUUGUGAUGUGUUGCAAAAUUUUAGGUUAUUUGGAUGAACUUUGAUAGGUUUCAACAUCAUUUGCAGAAUCGAAAGUUUGGUGUUUUGAUGUUGUUUUGAGUGUUUUGAGGGCAGGAAGAAGUUUAAAUGGUGAUAUAUGACUUGUUCGUAUGUUUGGUUGAGGUCCCAAGGGCCUCGAGUUAAUUUUGGGAGGUUGACGCAUCAAGGAUGAGAUUUGAGAAAGUGUUAAAGAAUUCCUUCAGAUGUCAUACCGCAUUGUGGAGUGGGGACCGUAGGUGCAAGGUCCGCAAAACCGAAUGAGCAGCUGCAGAAGAGGGUAAGGCUAAGGAAGCAGGAACCGCAGGUGCGCGCAUGACAUUGAACCUGCGAGAUCUUGACCGCAAAAGCGGUUUUCGAGGGUUAAGUGAAAACCACACCUGCGAUGGAUUUUUCGCAGGUGCGGCAUCGCAGAUGCGACUAAUGGACCGCAUAUGCAGAUGUUCUGGGCAAAAAGCAUCGAAGUUCCCCUCCGUGAAUAUUAUUCAUUUUUCCAUCAUUUUUGGACGAUUUUGGAGCUCGAAGCAGUGAUUUCAAGAGGUAAUCGAGGGGUUUCAGUGAGGCAAGCUACUCGGGCUUUGUAUUUUGUGUUUGUGAUGAUUUUUUCACUGCCUAUUCAUCAAAUUUGUGGGGAAUUUGGGGUGAAGUUAAUGGAUUAGGGCUUGAGUUUUGGUGAGCUUUCACAGGGGAUUUGAGGGAACAUUCGAGGUCCGAUUUUAGUGGUUUUGAUAUGUAUAGACUCAAGAGUGAAAGGAGUUUCUAAUUUUGUAAGUUUUAUUGAAUUUCGAGCUCGGGGGCCGAGUUUGAGUCCCAUUCGAGAUUGUUUGUCUAAUUUGAUUAUUUUUGUGGGGAAUUCAUUCCUUUAGCAUAUAUUGAUGAUAAUAUUAUGAUUUUGGUUAGAUUCGAAACAUUUGAAGGUCGAGUCAAAAGGCAAGGGCAUCACAGGUUAGAGUUUUGUCUGGUUUGAGUAGGUAAUGGCUGUAAAUCUUGUGCUGAGGGUAUAAAACCCCGGAUUGCACAUCGUUUCACUACUUUGAUGUGACGCACAUGCUAGAUGACGAGCGUGAGGGUGUGCAUCCUUGGGAUCGUGACUGGGUCCAUCUCGUAGCAAUUACUAAGUUGCAUAUUUGACCAGAAACUAUCUGAUACUUAAAAUUUACGAAGUAUUAGUAUGUUCUGGGCUAAAUGUCACAUUUGGGCCUUGUGCCAAGCUAUUUGGACCCUUAGGGUCUUUUUACUACUAUUCCUCGCUGUUUUGAUUUAAUGUAUGUACUCAGUCAUGCUAUAUUUUACUGAUUUCAUAACUCAUUCUUAUUUAUUCUGAUUUGAUGCAUAAAAUGAUAUUUUGGGCUGAGCAUCCUAUUUUAUUGUUAGCCUGAGUGGCUUGAGAGGUUUCUGAUUGAGUAAGGUCGAUGGCCUAUGUCGUGAGGAUAUCAUGGGAUUGGGCUGCACACCGUAGCAUACUAUAUUGUGUUGUGAUAUAUGAGAGGUCGAAGACCCGAUUUAUUAUGUCACAAGAUCGCUUGUUAUAGCGCUUGGGCUGUAGGAGCCCAUGCGUAAUCUGUACACCCCCACUAAGCACGGGUACUGAGUGAGUGAUAUGAUGUUUCUUGAGAGGUUGUUCUUGAUUCAUGUUGUGCCUGAGGGGCUGAUUAUGAGUGGUUGUGAGGUUGCCCGAGGGGCUGAUUUUGAGUGAUGUUAUGCCAGAGGGGCAGUUUAUAAUACAUGUGUUUCCCGGGGGGCUAUUUAUGAUUUUUAUCAUUUUUACUCUAAACUCCAUUGAAACUCUAUUGAAACUAUUAGGAAGAUAUUUUACUGAAAUUGGAUUUUAACGAUGUGAUUUGAAAUAUAUAUUGUUUUGAAAAUUUAUUGUACUUAUUGUGGUGUUAUGACAUGGAGUUAUGUGUUUUUUACCGCUCAGUUUUUCUUUACUUUUAUUGCUUACUUGGUUGGCAUACUCAUAUUACUCCCUGCACCUUGUGUGCAGAUCCAGGAGUUGCGGGUCGUGAUAGAGAGCCAUGAUCCUUCAUCCGGGAUAUCCAGAGUCCGCAAGGUAGCUGCAUGGCGAUUACAGCCUUGCUCUUC